rnacentral:lncRNA from 1 species
CUGAAUUAUCGUAUGUUCUACCUAAGAUUCGAACUAACUAUGGUAUCUUUAAUAUUAGAUACUGUGGUCCACAUUUAUGGAAUUCUAUUGAGGAGUCCCUGAAAAUGCUAGAUAAACAAGUGUUCAAAAAGCGACUUAAAUUAUUUUUGAUUGCUUCAUAUUAAAAUGAUAAUUUUACGGCGACUUUAACAAUAUUUUUUCCUCUACCUUACUUAUUAUGCGUGCACUUAACUUCUAGACUUUGUUGUUUAGCAGAUUACCUAUCUAGAUUAGCCCUUUAUGGUUAUUAUAGGUGAUUUUGCACAUUAUUUCACAGUAUUUUUUCUAUCUUUCUUGUAUUUUUUUUCCUACGUAAUUGUAUGUGUGCAAAUAAAAUUAUUAUUAUUAUUAUAAUUAUUAUUAUUGGACUUUUCUCUCAACUGGAAUCCUUGUGGUGAGUCAAUUUCCUACAUUGAGUAGUGCCACCAACGAAGGGAGGUCACAGGACGUUAAUCGUAGUGCAGUGUGUCACUCAGUUGAAACUGGCAGUGGUUACCAAGGUCUUGCUGCAUGUUUGUGGUAUAAUGAACAUGCCUUGUCUAACAAAGCCUGCAUAUUGAUGGUAAAUAUUUACAUAGACUAAAUAAGUAAGACAAAAU